rnacentral:rRNA from 1 species
AUUGAACGCUGGCGGCAGGCUUAACACAUGCAAGUCGAACGAGUGGCGGACGGGCGAGUAAUGCUUGGCAAUCUGGCUUACGGAGGGGGAUAACUACGGGCAACCGUAGCUAAUACCGCGUCCCAUAGGAUGAGCCCAAGUGGGAUUAGGUAGUUGGUGAGGGAAAGGCUCACCAAGCCGACGAUCUCUAGCUGGUCUGAGAGGAUGACCAGCCACACUGGGACGGAACCCCGUCCCAGACGCCGGCGGGAGGCAGCAGUGGGGAAGAUUGAGCGAUUGGGGAAACCGGACGAAGCCAUGCCGCGGGAAGGAAGAAGGCCUUCGGGUUGUAAAGUUCGGUCGGUAGCGAGGCGUUAAAUACAGAAGAAGCACAGGCGAACUCCGUGCCAGCAGCCGCGGUAAUUC